GACGAACGCUGGCGGCGUGCUUAACACAUGCAAGUCGAACGAGUGGCGAACGGGUGAGUAAAAAGGUGGUGACCUACCCUGCACUUCGGGAUCAUCCUGGGAAACUGGUUCUAAUACCGGCUAGUGUGGGAUGGGCCCGCGGCCUAUCAGCUUGUUGGUGGGUUAAUGGCUACCAAGGCGCGCAGGGUAGCCGGCCUGAGCGGGUGGACGGCCACAGUGGGACUGAGACACGGUCCAGACUCCUACGGUAGGCAGCAGUGGGGAAUAUUGGACAAUUGGCGAAAGCCUGAUCCAGCCAUGCCGCUUGUGUGAAGAAGGUCUUCGGAUUGUAAAGCACUUUAAGUUGGGAGGCGUUACCAACAGAAUAAGCACCGGCUAACUUCGUGCCAGCAGCCGCGGUAAUUC
rnacentral:rRNA from 1 species